rnacentral:rRNA from 1 species
AAUGAAAUAGUUUAAUGGCCGCAGUAAUUUGACUGUGCAAAGGUAGCAUAAUAAUUAGUCUUUUAAUUGAAGGCUUGUAUGAAUGGUUGGACGAAGUAUAAUCUGUUUCAUUUAAAUUUAUUAUAGAAUUUUAUAUUUUAGUAAAAAAGCUAAAAUUUUUUUAAAAGACGAGAAGACCCUAUAAAUCUUUAUAAUUUACAUUAUUUUUAUUUUUUGGAUUUAAUUUAUUUUAAUAAUUUAAAUUAUUUUAUUGGGGUGAUAUUAAAAUUUAAUUAACUUUUAAUUUAUUUUAACAUUAAUUUAUGAUUUAUUGAUCCAUUAAUAAUGAUUAUAAGAAUAAGUUACUUUAGGGAUAACAGCGUAAUUUUUUUAGAGAGUUCUUAUUGAUAAAAAAGUUUGCGACCUCGAUGUUGGAUUAAGAUAUAAUUUUAGGUGUAGUUGCUUAAG